rnacentral:snRNA from 1 species
UGGAAGAUACAAUGAUCAUGAAGAUGGUUGUUUCAGAUUAAGGCUUAUCCAUUGCACUCUGGCUGAGCUGACCCCUGUGGUUUUCCUAAAGGUGAAAAACUGGA